rnacentral:rRNA from 1 species
UGCCCAGACUCCUACGGGAGGCAGCAGUGAGGAAUAUUGGUCAAUGGGCGCGAGCCUGAACCAGCCAAGUCGCGUGAGGGAAGACGGUCCUAUGGAUUGUAAACCUCUUUUGUCGGGGAGCAAAAGACGCCACGCGUGGCGUUCCGAGAGUACCCGAAGAAAAAGCAUCGGCUAACUCCGUGCCAGCAGCCGCGGUAAUACGGAGGAUGCGAGCGUUAUCCGGAUUUAUUGGGUUUAAAGGGUGCGCAGGCGGAAGAUAAAGUCAGGGUUAAAUUUGAGGGGCCCAACCUCUGCGAGCCGUUGAAACUGGUUUUCUUGAGUGAGCGAGAAGUAUGCGGAAUGCGUGGUGUAGCGGUGAAAUGCUUAGAUAUCACGAAGAACCCCGAUUGCGAAGGCAGCCUGCCGCAGCGUUACUGACGCUGAAGCUCGAAAGCGCGGGUAUCGAACAGGAUUAGAUACCCGUGUA